rnacentral:rRNA from 1 species
UACCAGCACCCCGAGUGGUCGGGACGAUUAUUGGGCCUAAAGCAUCCGUAGCCGGUCCUGCAAGUCUUCCGUUAAAUCCAGCUGCUCAACAGAUGGGCUGCGGGGGAUACUACAGGGCUAGGAGGCGGGAGAGGCAAGCGGUACUUUAUGGGUAGGGGUAAAAUCCGUUGAUCCAUAGAAGACCACCAGUGGCGAAGGCGGCUUGCCAGAACGCGCUCGACGGUGAGGGAUGAAAGCUGGGGGAGCAAGCCGG